AUUGAACGCUGGCGGCAGGCCUAACACAUGCAAGUCGAGCGGAUGAAGGGAGCUUGCUCCUGGAUUCAGCGGCGGACGGGUGAGUAAUGCCUAGGAAUCUGCCUGGUAGUGGGGGAUAACGUCCGGAAACGGGCGCUAAUACCGCAUACGUCCUGAGGGAGAAAGUGGGGGAUCUUCGGACCUCACGCUAUCAGAUGAGCCUAGGUCGGAUUAGCUAGUUGGUGGGGUAAAGGCCUACCAAGGCGACGAUCCGUAACUGGUCUGAGAGGAUGAUCAGUCACACUGGAACGGAGACACGGCCCAGACUCCUACGGGAGGCAGCAGUGGGGAAUAUUGGACAAUGGGCGAAAGCCUGAUCCAGCCAUGCCGCGUGUGUGAAGAAGGUCUUCGGAUUGUAAAGCACUUUAAGUUGGGAGGAAGGGCAGUAAGUUAAUACCUUGCUGUUUUGACGUUACCAACAGAAUAAGCACCGGCUAACUUCGUG
rnacentral:rRNA from 1 species